AGAAGAGGGAAGGAACAGAUGAUGUUACACAACAAAGAGUGUGGUUCUCACCUUCCAGUGACGAGCAGGCAUCGUCCAGCAAGGGACCAGAAGUACUGCAGCAAAGAUCAGCAGAUUUAUGGACGUAUCUAUGACAGAUGAUGGCUCCUGACUCGGCCGUCGGUGGAUUCAGCUGACUGUAGUGAG